rnacentral:lncRNA from 1 species
AGGAUUGAGGAAAUUUUGCAUUGCCCAGAGAGUGACCAACAGAAUUACUAGUAAUUUUCCUCAUCAUCCCUAUGCUAGGGUGACCAAGGUGACCAUGUCAAGUUUGGAAUGCAUUGAUAUUCUAAAAAAAGUACUUUGUAUACAAUAUGUUGUAUGAGAUUUAUAUAUAAAUAGUACAAUCCAGAUGGGAGUGAGGGAAUUUUUCAAGUGUAUCUCUGCCAUAUUUGUUGUCCUUUGUAAUGAGAAGAAAUUCCUCAUUAUUUUUAUUAUGGGUUUCAAUAUGGAACCUAUUUUUUGGAUAUCUCUAUAACUCAAUAGAAUACGAGUUGAAUCGAGGUACAAGAGUGCAUCUUCAAUUGUGAUCAAUGUACCCAUAGAGAAAUAAUAAUGGCUCAUCUAGAGCCUACUAUUAUAGUACACGUCCAGUGAUUUUUAAUUUUUUUUUAAUUUUUGUAAGAGUUUAGAAAUAUUUUAGAGUUAGUGGUGCCACUGUCCACUAGGCAUAUUUUCUCAUCCAUCGGAUUGACUCCCGUACAAUCUAUAUAUAAAAUGGAAAAAAAUGAAAUUCUCAACAAAUAAAUAUAGAAUAUGAACAUAGCAUAGAUAUUAAUUGUGAAUCAUACAAGAAAUAUCAAAAUGUGCUAGAUGAAAUAAAAACAAAUGUCAAUUAUUACAUCCCAUAGGC